AACCUCUGUGGGGUCAGUCAUAUGAUCUGAUGUCAAAUCCCAGCAAUUUAAAUCUUUAAACUCUUUGACACUUUAUCAAAGGAAGGACAACAUGAUUAAUUUUUUCUUUUUCUGGUGUCUGACAGGUGUCUGUCUGGGAUUUGAGGUCCGUCAGUUUCCCUCUGAGUUCAUCACAGACGUUGGAUCCAAAGUGCAUAUUUUCUGCAGCCAUGAAAAGACUGACUACAGGGUGAUGCUCUGGUACCAGCAGUCACCUGGAGAGACCGCUAUGAAACUCAUUGGGUUUUUAAAUGCCAACACUCCAAAAUUUGAAGAUGAAAAUAACGAUAAUUUUGAAAUCAGUGGCGAUCUGAGUGGGAGUACAGCAAAAAACGGUUCUCUGAUAGUCAAGAAAGCUAAAGGACAAGAACACAGUGCAAUGUACUAUUGUGUAGCAAGUAAAGCACAAUGACACAAAGUCCCUCUGAACUUUACAAAAACUCCAGAUGAUUUUUUU
ensembl:lncRNA